UACGUAGGGUCCGAGCGUUGUCCGGAAUUAUUGGGCGUAAAGGGCUCGUAGGCGGUUUGUCGCGUCGGGAGUGAAAACUCAGGGCUCAACCCUGAGCGUGCUUCCGAUACGGGCAGACUAGAGGUAUGCAGGGGAGAACGGAAUUCCUGGUGUAGCGGUGAAAUGCGCAGAUAUCAGGAGGAACACCGAUGGCGAAGGCAGGUCUCUGGGCAUUAACUGACGCUGAGGAGCGAAAGCAUGGGGAGCGAACAGG
rnacentral:rRNA from 1 species